UGCGGAUUAGCCAAGCGGCAAGGCAGGGGACUUUGACUCCCUGAUUCGUUGGUUCGAGUCCAGCAUCCGCAA
rnacentral:tRNA from 1 species